rnacentral:rRNA from 1 species
GACGAACGCUGGCGGCGUGCUUAACACAUGCAAGUCGAACGGAAAGGCCCUGCUUUUGUGGGGUGCUCGAGUGGCGAACGGGUGAGUAACACGUGAGUAACCUGCCCUUGACUUUGGGAUAACUUCAGGAAACUGGGGCUAAUACCGGAUAGGAGCUCCUGCUGCAUGGUGGGGGUUGGAAAGUUUCGGCGGUUGGGGAUGGACUCGCGGCUUAUCAGCUUGUUGGUGGGGUAGUGGCUUACCAAGGCUUUGACGGGUAGCCGGCCUGAGAGGGUGACCGGCCACAUGGGGACUGAGAGACGGCCCAGACUCGUACGGGAGGCAGCAGGGGGGAACAUUGCACAAUGGGCGGAAGCCUGAUGCAGCAACGCCGCGUGCGGGAUGACGGCCUUCGGGUUGUAAACCGCUUUCGCCUGUGACGAAGCGUGAGUGACGGUAAUGGGUAAAGAAGCACCGGCUAACUACGUG